UCCAAUGGACAGAACCAUUGAGAAAAACCCGCAUCGAUAGUUCAGAUAUUACAUACUGAGGAGCAGCACUGAUUCUGAUGCUUCUCCAAGCAUCCAGGCUUAGCUCAUACACUUCAACCUGAGGUCUAAUAUCUACUUUACACUUGUCAUCCAUUACACGAUAUACAAUUCUCACGACUUUGUAUUCAUUGCUUUUAUCAUCACAUCCAAAUCCAAGAACAAACAUAUAGAUCUGGUGAAAAG
rnacentral:misc_RNA from 1 species